ACAUGCCUACAACACAGCGUUAAUGCACCAGAUCCCAUUAGAACUCUGCAGUAAAGUGCACUCGGGCUAGCGUAGUACUGGGAUGGAUGACCACCUAGGAAGUAGUAGUGUUUUACAUGGA
rnacentral:rRNA from 1 species